AAACCGCUGAGACACCCAGGCUGUCCCUCCUUUAUUUAUUUUUACAAGACAAUUGGAAAUAUAUUGAAUCAGAGAAUUUUCACAUUUCCUAAGAUGUUUGGUAUUCAUUCUAUUGUUUAUUUCUUCUUAUCAAUUUUGUCCUUUGCAGGCAAUUUUCCCUACGGGCAAUUUUCCAGCAAAAAUAUCUCUACUCGCUUGGAAUGCUUCUGUUCAUCUGUAAAGCCUAACGGACUGGAUUCACAGCUCCUUACCAGGCCUCCACAUCUUUCUGAAAUUGCUGGACGAAGAAAUUCAGCAACUGGCCACUGCUACUUUUCCUGUUCUGCAACACAAGAGCAGGUGGCUGAGCAUUGCUCAAUCACCCAAGGACCAAAUCUCACCAGGCAUGAUUAAAGCAUACCCUCUGCCUCUCCCCUGCUGCAAAGCUGCUCACCUUGGGAUACAAUUUAAAUAUUGACUCCUCUCCACUGACGACUUCAAAAUACAAUGGGCC
rnacentral:lncRNA from 12 species